rnacentral:rRNA from 1 species
GACGAACGCUGGCGGUGUGCUUAACACAUGCAAGUGGUGCGACGAACCAGAGCUUGCUCUGGGGCAAAGCCGCGAACGGGUGAGUAACACGUGGGGUAAUCUACCCCGAUGACCGGGACAACCCCGAGGAAACUCGGGCUAAUACCGGAUGUGGUACGGAGACAUAAGUCUCUUUACUAAAGGUAGCUUCGGCUUCCGCAUUGGGAGGGGCCCGCGGCCCAUUAGCUAGUUGGUGGGGUCAAGGCCUACCAAGGCAACGAUGGUAGCUGGUCUGAGAGGACGAUCAGCCACACUGGGACUGAGACACGGCCCAGACUCCUACGGGAGGCAGCAGUGGGGAAUCUUGCGCAAUGCGCGAAAGCGUGACGCAGCAACACCGCCGUGAGGGAAGACGGCCUUAGGGUUGUAAACCGUCUUUCAGAUGGGACGAAGGUGAUGCGGUGAAUAGCCGAUGUCAUUGACGGUACCGUCAGAAGAAGCUCCGGCUAACUACGUGCCAGCAGCCGCGGUAAU